rnacentral:rRNA from 1 species
AUUGAACGCUGGCGGCGUGCCUAACACAUGCAAGUCGAGCGGUAACAGGUGUAGCAAUACAUGCUGACGAGCGGCGGACGGGUGAGUAACACGUGGGUGACCUGCCCUCAGCUCUGGGAUAAGCCUGGGAAACCGGGUCUAAUACUGGAUAUGACUCCAUGACGCAUGUUGUGGGGUGGAAAGCCUUGUGCGGCUGAGGAUGGGCCCGCGGCCUANCAGCUUGUUGGUGGGGUGAUGGCCUACCAAGGCGACGACGGGUAGCCGGCCUGAGAGGGCGGACGGCCACACUGGGACUGAGACACGGCCCAGACUCCUACGGGAGGCAGCAGUGGGGAAUUGUUCACAAUGGGCGCAAGCCUGAUGACGCAACGCCGCGUGGGGGA